AAUGAUCUGUGAAUGUGGCUUUUGUCUAAUGGACACAAUGCAUGCUGGAAACAUGUGUUCCCUUUCAAAGGUGGGAGAGGAAGGAUGACUCAGAGGUGGGGCCCAGAGCCCCAGAGGCUGACUCGCAGGCCCUGAGGCCAAUGGAGGACCUCCUGCUGGUGUUUGCCUGGUGGAUUUCAAAACUGCUUUCAACUGUCACUGUGGCGCUGUGACAAGGACUGCAGGAUAUCUUGAGGAGCUCCUGACUGACAGCCAAAGAAGCAGGGACUUUAGUCCUACAAUUGCAAGGAACUGAAUUCUGCCAACAACAAAAUGGGGUCAGAAGUGGAUCUUUUUCCAGUGCCUCCAGAUGAGAACCUAGCCCGGCCAACAGCUUGACCUUAGCCUUGUGGGACCCUAAGCAGAGAAUCCAGCUGCGUGGUGCAAAGUUCUGACCUCCAGAACUACGUGAUGAAUUGGUGUUGUGUGUGGGUAACUUGUCGUGCUGCAGUAGGAAACUAGGAUAAAUGUGCUCAGUGGCCUUCACGAGCAGGCCCAGGCUAGGGCCAGCAUGGUGUGGGAUCACCUCCUCAGUACUUGAUAUUUUUUGAUGCUAACAUAAAUGGCGUUAUCUCUUAAAUUUCUAAGUGUCUAUUACUAGUGUAUAGAAAUACAAUCAAUUUUCAUAUAUUGAUUGACCUCGUAUCCUGCUUUCCUGCAAAAUUUAACUAUUAAUUUUUUACUUUUGUAUGUCAACACAUAUACUCAUGCCAUUUGUGAACAAAGAGAGUUUUACUUUUUCCUUUCCAGUCUUGAUGCCUUUUACCUCUUUUUCUUUGCUUGGCCUCCCGCUCAGUGUUGGGUAGAGGCGGUAAGAACGCUGUUCUUGUGUUCUUCCUGACCCUAGGGGUA
rnacentral:lncRNA from 1 species